CUGUCAAGUGAUUCCUUUGACCGGUAUCUCUGCCGAAAAAAGCUGAAAAGCAAAAGGAAGUCUUUGUCAUGGCUCUGCUCACUGAUCAUAUCAUUUUUAUGUUGAUAUUUAUCAAAGUGUGCGGUAAGGAAAUGCAAAUUUUUGUUCAUCUCUUUUGGAAUUACUACAUGUGAAGUUGAGAAGUAACAGUGAAAGAAAUAGGUUGCAUUAAAAGCUUCUUUUAAAACUGAGUUGCUACAAACUCCUCAGAAGACAGAAAGUAACACGUUACCCACAGUGUGAAGCAACAGAAAACGUUUUUGCAUGGUUGCAAGAACAAGUCACCGAAACGAUGAUUUUGAAUGAAGGCUGUACAGUGAGACAGAGAGACGUAUACACUUGCUGUGUUGAUAUAUAUGCCAAUGGCGUGUAUAAAUAUUCAGUCGACACAAACUGGACCACGGAUAAACUUCACAGUGAGGAAUGGGACAGUGAGGAAAUCCUUCUGGCGUGUAUUGAAUACGACCCCUACUUAAGUAACUUGACCGCUGACGUAGAACAGGUCCUCUCUGGCAGCAUCCACCUCAAACGGUGUCUUAACCUGAAUUACUCUGCUACUGAUGACAAGUUUAAGGUAGGCUCUCCUAUCUCGCC